GCUUCUCGCAUCUUCUCAUCCACCGGGGCCACCCCCACCUUCUCUCGAAUAACUUCAUUCUUAAUCUUACCUAGCCUGAUGUGCCCGCACAUCCACCUAAGCAUCCUCAUCUCCGCAACCUUCAUUCGAUGAACAUGAGAGUUCUUCACGGGCCAGCACUCCGCCCCAUAAAACAUCGCAGGUCUAACCACGGCUCUGUAGAAUUUCCCCUUGAGUUUGUGUGGAAUUUUCUUGUCACACAGGACCCCUAAAGCAAGCCUCCACUUUGACCACCCCGCUCCUAUCCGAUGGGUGAUGUCCCCGUCAAUCUCUCCGUCCCCCUGAAUCACAGACCCAAGAUAUCGGACACUGUCC
rnacentral:lncRNA from 1 species